GGCGGCAUAGCCAAGCGGUAAGGCAGAGGCCUGCAAAGCCUUGAUCCCCGGUUCGAAUCCGGGUGCCGCCUCCA
rnacentral:tRNA from 1 species